GGGAUGUAGCUCAGUUGGCAGAGCACCUGCUUUGCAAGCAGGGGGUCGUCGGUUCAAAUCCGAUCAUCUCC
rnacentral:tRNA from 1 species